rnacentral:rRNA from 1 species
UACAGAGGUCUCAAGCGUUGUUCGGAAUCACUGGGCGUAAAGGGUGCGUAGGCUGCACGGUAAGUCAGAGGUGAAAUCCCGGAGCUCAACUUCGGAAUUGCCUCCGAUACUGCCGUGCUUGAGGACUGGAGAGGAGAUUGGAAUUCACAGUGGAGCAGUGAAAUGCGUAGAUAUUGUGAGGAACACUAGUGGCGAAGGCGAAUCUCUGGACAGUUCCUGACGCUGAGGCACGAAAGCGUGGGGAGCAAACAGG